GGCCAGACUAAGUAUAUCAUUAUUUAUCUAUUGACUAUUGAUGACUGAGACUACACAUGAUAGUCCAAUGAGGAAUUAAUACAAUAACAAUUGCAAUUACAUAAUUAUUUACCUUUUAAACACUACAAUCACAUCCGAAGUUGUUUACGCUCGAAGCUCAGUUAAAUAAUAAAUUAACUAUGCAUACCUCCAUUAACAAGAUAAUACUAGCUAUGAAGUGUAAAGUAUACGAUCCCAAAAUAUAGAUUAUCGAAAGUCUUAAGUGUAAUAUUGAUAUCUUUAUUUGCGUCCUGCGGUUUUUGUGUGUGUCGCCACAAAUAUAAUAUUACUGUGGUGUUUGUCCGAACCAAUAUUAUAGGUGUCUAUUUCAAUCGGGUAAGUGACAUGUCUAACACAAUGUCGAUGUCGGGCUAUCGUCGUGAUCUAGACAAUGACAGGAAUGAGAUCGCGACACAUCGUUCCUAUGAAUAUCGGCCAGGUAA